GCGGGUGUAGCUCAGUUGGUAGAGCUCCAGCCUUCCAAGCUGGUUGUCGCGGGUUCGAACCCCGUCGCCCGCU
rnacentral:tRNA from 1 species